rnacentral:rRNA from 1 species
GCUCAGAAUGAACGUUGGCGGCGUGNAUUAGGCAUGCAAGUCGCGCGGAAAGGCCCCUUCGGGGGUACUCGAGCGGCGUAAGGGAGAGUAACGCGUGGGUAACCUACCCUUGGGUCCGGGAUAGCGGCGGGAAACUGCCGAUAAUACCGGAUAACAUCUCAGGAUCAAAGGUGUGAUUCCGCCUGGGGAUGGGCCCGCGUCCUAUUAGUUUGUUGGUGAGGUAACAGCUCACCAAGACUAAGAUGGGUACCGGGUGUGAGAGCAUGACCCGGCUCACUGGGACUGAGACACUGCCCAGACACCUACGGGUGGCUGCAGUCGAGAAUCUUCGGCAAUGAGCGAAAGCUUGACCGAGCGACGCCGCGUGCGGGAUGAAGGCCUUCGGGUUGUAAACCGCUGUCAGUGGGGAGGAAAUGCAUGGGGGUUCUCCCCCAUGUUUGACCUAUCCGCAGAGGAAGUCCGGGCUAAGUUCGUGCCAGCAGCCGCGGUAAGACGAACCGGACAAACGUUAUUCGGAAUUACUGGGCUUAAAGAGUGCGUAGGCGGCUUGGCAGGUUGGGUGUGAAAUCCCUCGGCUCAACCGAGGAACUGCGCUCAAAACCGCCAGACUUGAGGGAGAUAGGGGUGAGCGGAACUGAUGGUGGAGCGGUGAAAUGCGUUGAUAUCAUCAGGAACACCGGUGGCGAAGGCGGCUCACUGGAUCUCUUCUGACGCUGAGGCACGAAAGCUAGGGGAGCGAACGGGAUUAGAUACCCCGGUAGUCCUAGCUGU